GCGUGGGUGAAGAAGGUCUUCGGAUCGUAAAGCCCUUUCGACGGGGACGAUGAUGACGGUACCCGUAGAAGAAGCCCCGGCUAACUUCGUGCCAGCAGCCGCGGUAAUACGAAGGGGGCUAGCGUUGCUCGGAAUUACUGGGCGUAAAGGGCGCGUAGGCGGCUCUGUUAGUCAGGCGUGAAAUUCCCGGGCUUAACCUGGGGACUGCGCUUGAUACUGCGGAGCUUGAGGGUGGAAGAGGGUCGUGGAAUUCCCAGUGUAGAGGUGAAAUUCGU
rnacentral:rRNA from 1 species